AAAUACGUCACUGGCAGACCUGCCUUCGCCAGCGCCAGCCCAUCUCUGAAACCUCCAGCAUUUGUGCCCCGGUCCGGCCCCUCCCAGGCCUGACUCUUUCCGUGAACGGUCACUGUGCAGGAUCAAGCUACAAUGAAGAGGAGGGAGGCAAUCUGCGCGCACCGCCAUUUUCUAGGAACUGGGAAGCCCCCCCACCCCUUAGGAAGAUCCAUCCCUGUGGAACCUUGCCCAGGCUUACCAGCCUUUGCUGAGGUUGAUCUAUUGUCCCUCCUUGUCCCCAUCAAAAUAUCCAGCACUCCACCUUCAGGGAGUAGACUUGACCCUCAAAUAGCAAGUUCAGCCUUCCCAGGUCUAGGUUCCCUGGGAAGUCAAGAUUCGUCUGGUUCCUUAGUACAGAGGGCUAGCUGUGAGUUGGAAUCCCCCUAUGAGCUUUAGAAUCAGUCAAGAGGAAUUGGGCCCCUUCCCUUCAUCCCUCUUCUUUUCCCUUUUUGUCCCAGAGCUCAGCUCUGACUCAAAAGUUUUUCCAUUUACCAUCAACAUGGAAACUUGGCUCCUCAAGUGGGUAUAUUAUCCCCCUUUUGUACAUGGUCUUGUUGAUCCAAACUCCCUUUCUGUGAAAGAGGCCUGUGGGGCUCAAGAAGCCUGGUCAGCCAGCCAGGCUAGUCCCACAUACCUCAGAACCAGUUUAAUAAAGGCUCUAUGUCAUUCUUUUUUGCUUGGGCUGAUUGGUGUGCUGAUUCAGAAGACCUUGAUAUUUUAUUCUUUCCCCCAAACCAGCUCAAUUGGUGUUUGUGCUAGAGGGAGAUGGACCAUGGGGAGGGCUGUCAUAAGGGAUAUCCUUGGCCCUCCCACUUCCCCCUUUGAAGGAUGCCCUUGUUAUCUUAGGCAGGGACCUGAUACCGGUUGGUUCAGUAGAUAUCUGGCAGUUUACUCUGAGCAUUUACCUUGUAUUAGGGCAAGAACUAAAGGAACAAAUAUAUCCACCUCAAUGUCAGGUCAAAUGGGAGGAUGUGGAUGGGAGUAAAGAGUGAUUAGUAUUGAGGUCGUGGAAUUUUAUUGGUUACUAUUUUUAUAACUUUGGUCUUCCAGUCCUUGAAUGAAGGUAAACGGAGACUUAUUAGGGAACGAAUUACUAGUGGCAGGGUGGUGGUGUCCUGGUGUCCUGCUUAGAAUGUGAAGAGAGUGCCCCAUCAUUGGCCUAUGCUGUGCAUCUGGGAGGUGGUAGGCCACUGUCCUGAACUGCACAACUGGUAGUGAAAUUCAGAGCAGAAUGCAACAUUUAUUUAAUGGGGCCUCACAGUUGGCCAGUGUCCCUGUGGCCUUUCCCCUUCUUCCUUCCACUCUGUGUCAUGGAGACCCGACUUGAUUUGGCAAGAGAACAACGUACACCUAAGGUUUCCCGAAUAUUUCCCAGCAAGGACCCUGGCUGGCUAUGUUUCUACUUCAGUGGUGACCACAGCAGAUACUGGCAGUUUUCUGUUAUGGCUCUGGGGUCUUUUAAGGAGCAGGAACGUGGAAUAUGUACAAACCUGGAGCCACAGUCAAGUACUAAGCUCCUUGAAGCACAAGGCAUGAGAAUAUCAUGUUUUCUUUUCCUUAGAGGAUUUAUGAAUUAAAACUAAGGAAUAAUUUGUAAUCAGAAUAACACCACCUGGCAGGGAUGUCGAUGAGCUGAGGAAGGCUUAUUUGGAGAUUUCUGGUAUUUUCCAGCUCUGAGACUCCAGACCUAAUAUCUAUGUAAUGGCCAUUAAUGUCUCGUAAUUUAUAACAGUUUUAUCAGUGAUCCAUUACAUUAAUCAUCAUGAGUUGGUGACUUAUCAAGUCCUACAGGUUAUUUGUUAUUUGUAUAACUAUAUAGAGCUAUUUAAUUUACAAACACAAUACUCUUUUGAGGUAGAUACCAGAACCAUUUUACAUUUGAGGAUAUUGAAGCUAGGAAAAAGACUCAGCUCUUGAAGGAAUGGACAUGGGGUGCCCUUGCCUUCCUUGGGGAGAGAGCCACCUAAUCUGUGCAGCUGUAGUUAGGGCCUGCCACCUUAUUCCUCCUCUCCAUCCAACCCCUACAUUUUGGAAACAAAAAGGCAGCAGUGAUCUGGGAAUUAUUUAAUGCUUAGUUUGACAGGACAAAUUUUAAGGACCUUAAGAGCAACCUUUUAUUUCUUACCAUAUGAGGCACUGGGACAGGCACAGAGAAGUCAAUAUUAUUUGCCCAGUGCAUUUCUUCAUGGCUUCUGCUUUUUAAUCUUAGGCUCACUUUUUUAACCUCAUUGCUCACAUGUUAUGAUUCCUUCCAGAAAAUUCACUGAAAUUCUAAUGUCCCUUGCUGUUCCUUAGGUAACUUAGGAGUAACUUUCCAGCUCUUCCCCUAACUAGUUGUGUGACGUUCAGCAGGCUGCUUAACUUCUGUGUGUCUCAGUUUUCUCAACUGUAAAAUGAAUGAUCCAACCCCUAUGUCAGAAGGAUGGGUGAGGCUCAUGAGGAAUAACACAUAAGAAAUAUGGGAUGCUUACCACAGUGUUUGGUAAAUAACAUGAGUUUCCUCUUCCCUCUUUGAACAGUCCUUUGUAUUCUGCUGAGAGCUUUCCUGUUCAUGCUGCCUCACAACCAAAAGGGGAAAGAAUCCUGAGUCCUGUGCUCGUGAUUUCUCCCUUCGCUAGCUGGUUCAAGGCCAAUCCAGAUAUCAUGGUAUUUUCUGAAAGAGUCCCACCCUUCUGUGCAAAAGCCUUCCUUCCAGGGAGACUUGAUAUGACUGAUUAACAAUCCAAUUAACACUCUGGAACAAUCUAGAAGGGCUGUGGCUCAUUACCCUCUGCAAUUUUCCACCCAUUUAGUCUCCAAGCCAUUCCCUGGAAGAGAUAAGUGGAUCUGAUGAGUGGGGCUGUGCCAUGAGACCUCCAAUAUUUAUGGAGAAGCCAGUCCUUUCUUCCUUCGCCAGGCCUCAAGAUUUCCCAAUGUGCCUCUAUUCUUACAUGGAGGAUGGGAUUCUUUGCCUUCAUACAGGAAGAAACUGGAACCUCAAGGCAGACAGGACAAAUACAAAUCUUGAAAAUGACCAUGACUCCUAGUUGGUCCCUACUUGCCUCCUGGUUUCACUAAGUAGAGGGUCACUCCAGGUAGAGCCCUAUCCAGCACGCUGCUCCUUCCCCCACCUUUAGAUGUGGACAGUGGGUGGACUGGGCCCAUAGCCUGGACCUGGACAGCUGUGUCCUCCCAACCAGACUCUUCUGAUUCUGCUGCACCCCACUCUUUCCUACUUAUCCUUGCCUAGAUCCCUCUUACUCCAUCUUUCCUGCUCAGGUCACAAUGGACAAUAAUCUCUGACGCCUGCCCCAGCUAGACUGGCACUGGAGAGCUGAGAGAGCCUCCUGUCCAUGGAGAAUUCUGGCAGAGCUGCUAUCUUCAGCCCCCUCUCAACUCUCCAGGGUCCUGUGCCCUUUGUCUACCUCUCCCAGGCCUGACUCUCCUCCCACUUGCAUGGACAUUGUCUUUCCUAGCUCUGGGCUGCCUUCUCAGCCUCAUGUUUUGCCCUUUUUCCUGCUGUGGGAGCCAGCCAUCACUGUAAUGCGUGAGUGUGGGGAUGUGGUGUGAAGGGAACUCCAGUUCUGGGGUCAGAAGAUUUAAAGUUUGAGACCUACUUCUGUCCCAUAAGCACUAUAAAAACUAAGCCAAAUAAACAACUUUGAUCCCCAGUUUGGAAACAUUUGUAAUGUGAAGAAAUCAGACUUUUGAUAAAGAAUGGAAGAAAUGGUAAUCCAUGCUAAAGAAAUGUUUGGAAUGUUGAGAUGCUAUAGAAUCUUUCUGACAGUGCUGCUGACUUUGUAUACCUCUACAUAUAAAUGUCUCCAGUUUUGUUUCUUUUCCACCAUUCUGCAGACAAAGCUGAAUGCGGGCAGGGAAGGAACCCUCACUGUUGAGCCCUGGAAUCAGGCACUCUUGUCUGAGCCCCUUCAUCUUUGGUUUGGGGUAGAAAGCACAGGUGGCACCCUUUCUCUAGUUUUCUCACUUCUGGCACAAACUCUCAUUUACUGUAACCUAAGAAAGGAUGGAAGACCUUGAGCCUCAAGAAAAAAGCCCCAAGAAAAUUCCAUGCCUCUGCUUCCCUCACAAAUCAAAGCUGAGCUAAUCCAGAGCAGUUUGCAUGAUUCCUUAGAAGAAGGAACCUCACCAGGACUCUUAAAAGCACGGAGACCAAGGAAGAAUUGGGCUUCUGCACUUUAUCACUGUUGAGGUCCUCCCUGCCUGCUCCCAGACCUCUGGAGUGACCCACAGUCUUCUCUAUUUACCUUAAACACAGAAUCCAACCUCUUCAUGUAGGUGAGUCACCCCAUCUGCAGUUAUAUGUCCUGGCGCCCCCAGCUCUCUCUCCCCAAACAAACUGUGAAGCAUCAGCCCUACCCAAGGAACCUGUCCAGCCAUGCACACUUCAACCAACCCUCUCUGACCUUAGGAUGAAACCGUUUCUCUAACAUUUUUUUUCACUCACAUUGGGACCAGUGUGUUGAUUCAGAAGACCAAAUUGGGAACUAAUUUUAAUCUCCCUACCUCAAGGAAAUGGAUGGUCUUCGGACUAGAGGGGGCCCAGGUAUUAAAGGGUGUCAGAGAGGGCUGGUCAAUGGGCUACCAUCCCACCACCCCUUGGGAAGAGCUCACCUCCCUUCUCAAGUGGAGAGCCUCUGGCCCACUCUCAGCCCUCUGAUCAGAGCCAGGCUCUCACUGAGUGAUUUUUCUGGCACCUGGCAGUCUUCCCAUCCUAGAAGGGGAACAGUGGGAGGUUUUUGGUGGCAGCAUUUGUGUCAUUCCAGAAUACUGGAUGUUAGAUUUUGGCUGUUGGGCAAAUCCUGGAAUAAAGAUGAAGGGUGGGAAGGAUUAGGGAACCAAUGAGUGAGGGGCAGGAUGGCCAUCCUCAGCCCAGCAGUGAAGUCUAUAAUUUUCCAGGUGCUUCCAUCUACUAUUGGGGCUGUUGUGUAUGUCAGAACAUUCAGGGCAUCAGGGAGUACAGAGGUUACCAUGUGCUCUCUGCCACUUCCCUGCCUCCUUUCUUUGCUCAAAAUCAUAGAGACCAGUGCUGAUUUGGCAGGGAAUAUCGAACCUCUUGAGAUUUUUCCAGCUGGAACCCUGGCUCUGUACCUAGUUUUUUAACACUAUUUUGACCAUAGCAGUCUUUGGGAGCUGCUUGAUGUCUGGGCUCUGGAUUUCCCAUGAAGUCAAGAAUGAUGGAUUCACAAGGGCCCACCAGGAAUAUGGAGCCAUGGUCUGAUUAGAGCACAGAGAGCUACUUCCUGCCUUGGGUAAAUCCUGAAAUUCAUCAUGCAUGAUUUUCCUUUUAAUAAGAUUAAGGAGAGCUUGUAUAGAUAUUGAACAGGGGAUCCUGAUAGCCAUUGAGGGAGGCUGGAGUAGAUGACCUCUGAUAGCUUUUGCCAGCUUUGAGAGUCUAUGAACUUAACAUAUGUAAUAUUAUCAUUAAUAUGCUAUGAUUUAUGUUACUUAAAUGAUGCAUAUCAUUAAUAAUAAUGACUGUUAUUACGCUGCCUUUUCUAAUCCAAUAUGUGAUCUGUGUAACUACAUAGUACUACAGAAGCAUACUUACUGAAGUCGAUACUUACCAUUGAUAUCUUACCAAAAAAGAAACUGUGGCCAAGAAACAGCCUCUCAACCCAGAACCCCCAAACUAAACAGCCUCUUUCUCUCAGGAGGAACUGCACCUGCCUUGGUUUACUCAGGACCCUCUAGUUCUCUGCAACUACCCUUCUUCCAGACCUGCUUUGUUCCCUCCACCACACCUCCUCUCAAGCUCCUGGGACAGCUAGAGAUGCCUCCCUCAACCCCUGCUUGUCUAGGCACAGGAUCCCAGUCCUUAAUGUGCCCCUGUUAGACCCAAAUCCAGUCACUUUUCCAUACCAGGUCUUAAUUUCCUCUUCUGUAAAGUGACUCAAGAUUUUGAAACUUAAAAUCUGGUGAAUUCUUCCAAGCACAGGUACCAUCUUAUGUUGUAUGGCCUUUGGCCAAUCCAUCUGUCCAUCUUUUCUUGGAUAGUAGUUUUGCCAGAUCUAUAAGUUAUCUUGAAAUUAGUGAAAACAGACCAAUCUUUGAUAACCAGAGAUCUAAAGCAUCAGCUUAUGGCCCUGUCCUUCAGGGUAAUGUGUAAGGCCCUCAAAGCCAUGCACAGUGUCUUUCACUUUGACUUUUAUCUCUCUCAAUACCAUGCACAGUGCUAGGCACACAGCAGGUCAGCAAGAGCAUGCUGAAUGAGCACAAACAGAUUUCACCAUCUCUCCCACUUUUUCUGCUGGACUCAGUCUUCUGAAAGUCAAGGCACAUAUGCCAGGAUUCAGGCCUUCCACAUGAAACCCAGACAGCUCUGCAUUUUUACAUCCUCUGCAGCUCUGUAAGAAACUUCAGAGCAAAUCCAUCUCUUGAGUGUUUACCCAACUUUGCGCCUCAAUAGCUGUGUGACCUUGGGCAAGUUAUUUAACUCUUCUCUACCUGAGCUUCCCCAAUAGAGAUAUUAAUAAUAAUACUUAUUUCAUUGUGUUGUUUUGAUGAUAAAUUGAGAUAAUCUAUAUAUAGCUCUUAGACCAGUACAUGGCACAUAGGAAACUCUCAAUAAAUGUCAGGUAUGAUUAUCAACUUACUUUUGCAGUUCAAUAUUCACCUGAAAAAUGCCAACCUAAUGUUCUCCUAAUGAAAGUAUAAGAACUUUUCCAUAAUUAGUCUGGGUAGGUAGGGCAACCACCCCAUCUUUUGUAGACAGGAAGGACCAUGUCUUCCAAGAGAUCCCCACAGGAAUGGGUGGGAAGAGCAUAACAGGAAACCCAAGAUGAAAGACUUCAGGAUUAAUAGCUGCAACUGAGGGCUUAAAUCCCUUCUUCUUGGCAGCAGUACUCCUCAAAUGGUGAGCAAGUUACCUGCUAGUUUCCAGGACAUGCCAAGUCCAUGACAGAGGGAACAGGUGUAGUGCGCUGAGGUUUUACUUCACAAAAAAGUGGAAACAAUGUCAGAUAGGUCAGCUAACAGAGGUCUCCAUGGUUUGGAAAAUGGGAUAUCUUGGAUGUAGCCUAGGAGAUUCAAGGGAAAGAAAACUCAUCCUUGCAAAGUAUAUGAAUGUUAGUGCUGCUGUGGGGUAUGCCAGGGAGCACCACUGAACACAUGUUACAGAGGAGGUGCAGGAGAAGAGGGGGUGUGCUCAUCACCAACUAAGCAGAUGGACAGCCUGGACGGAUGGACUGGGGCUGUGGGAGGUUGGUCAGUGGGCUGACUGGCUGUGGACCAGAUGGGUUUGGGGAUCCCAUGGAGAUGGGUGAAAUUCCAGCUCCAUUCUCUCAUCAGUAGGAAACCGAGCAUGUGACUGUUGACAUCUUGGAAAGGACUAGACCAUGAGAUCUUCCUUGCUCCAAUCCCAGACAGACUCCGGCAUGAGAUGGUGGAGGAGAAUUCUGGCUCCAGGAGCAUAUUCAGCUGAUGGCUAAAGGGACCAGAAGAUCAAUUAUCCCAACAAUAAUAGGAAAAUAACCAGGGAAGAGCCUGUAAUCUGGGCCUACUUCCUCAGAAUAGUUUGCAGAAAUCCCACUGGUUGUAAGAACAGAGGAAGCCCCACCCAGCUUGCUGAAGCCCUGAGACCUUCACUGCAGGCACACUGAGAACAGAAGAUACGGAAGUACUCAGGCUGUACUUAUGAAAAAUCAAUACUCACAGACUUUUAAAGAAAAGUUACUUUGCAUUUGGGAAGGGGGAAUCCUGAGACAGUGACUGUUGCCUAGCCUGGCUGACAAUUAUAUCCCUUAACAAAAAAGUGUUCCUGAGGUCUUUUCGAAUUUCAACACUGUAAUGAUGAAAAAAUAGAAAAUUCUCUUGAGGGAAACCUGAGGGAUAUGUCAUUAUCGAGAACGUGGGGAAAGGGGUCAAACUGUUUUUCCAGAAAGCUUAAUAAUCAACUAGGCAAAUAUUGUAUCAGCUAUCUCACCUCUGCAAAAGAUUGAAGAGCUGGAGGCUUCUGUAUAUCAGGAAAGAGUAUCUGGGUAGGUAUCUUACCUGAUAGGGACAGGGGUAUUAAAAUAGAAAGAGGCGAGAAGAUGGGUUUUGUCUCUGAAGCAAGCUGUUGUCAGGCUUUUUAUCUUAGGGGGAAGAAGUUAUAGGCUCCUGGGGCAGAGCAGCCCAGACAAGACUGGAGAUGGAAGGCUCAUUCAACAAGCGACCUCCUAGAGGUCACCAAGAGGGGAGAAGGGGUGACCACAGGGUGGGCUGGGCAGUGCAGUCUGAAUCCUGAGGAAUUUUCCUGGCCAGGGGAGGGAACGUGUUUCAAGGCAAGGAGGGCCAGAAAGGCCGGUGUAUGGUCAGAAGGAACUGCUUCACCAAGGUGCUCUUGCCUGGAAUUAACACUCUGAGGUUUCUCGCAGAUCUUAGGCUAGUCAAGGGUUUCCUGAUUAGGCUACAAAUGUGAAUCAUUCAGUCAGUAUAAAAUACAAUCUAUAACAGGUUGACGGGAAGAAGAAAGGAUGGGAAGGCAGUGUGAUGUCAUGGGAAGAACUAAGGCUUUGCAGCCAGACUUAACUGUGUGACCUUGGGCAAGUUACUUAACCCCUCUGAGCUUCAGUCCUUUCAUUUAUAAUAUGGGAAUAAUACUAUCUACCUAAAAAGGCUUUAGUGAUGAUUCAGUGAGAAACAUAUUUGAAGCAACAAGCACAGUAACUGGAAGCUGUAGGUACUCAACAAGUGUCAGUUUCCUUCCUCUUCUAAAAGCUGUGCUUUCAAGUCAAUUGUAUGUCUAGAGUCGCACUGUCUGGUACAGUGGCCAGUACUAGCCACAUAUGGCUCUCAAGUACUUUAAAGAGGGCUAGUCUGAAUUGAUAUGUGUCAUACAUGUAAAAUACUUUAAAGAGGGCUCAUCUGAAUUGAUAUAUGCCAUACAUGUAAAAUACAAAUCAGAUUUCUAAAACUUUGUACCAAAAAGUGCCAUAAAAUAACUUACUAAUAAUUUGAGUGAUUACAUGUUACAAUAAUAUUUUGGAUAUAUUGAGUUAAAAUAUAAGAUUAAAAUUAAUUCCACCUGUUUCUU